rnacentral:snRNA from 1 species
AUACUUACCUGGCAGGGGAGAUACCAUGAUCACGAAGGUGGUUUUCCCAGGGCGAGGCUUAUCCAUUGUACUCUGGAUGUGCUGACCCCUGAGAUUUCCCCAAAUGUGGGAAACUCGACUGCAUAAUUUGUGGUAGUGGGGGACUGCGUUCGCGCUCUCCCCUU